GACGAACGCUGGCGGCGUGCUUAACACAUGCAAGUCGAGCGGUAAGGCCCUUUCGGGGGUACACGAGCGGCGAACGGGUGAGUAACACGUGGGUGACCUGCCCUCAGCUCUGGGAUAAGCCUGGGAAACCGGGUCUAAUGCUGGAUAUGACUCCAUGACGCAUGUUGUGGGGUGGAAAGCCUUGUGCGGCUGAGGAUGGGCCCGCGGCCUAUCAGCUUGCUGGUGGGGNGAUGGCCUACCAAGGCGACGACGGGUAGCCGGCCUGAGAGGGCGACCGGCCACACUGGGACUGAGACACGGCCCAGACUCCUACGGGAGGCAGCAGUGGGGAAUCUUGCGCAAUGGGCGAAAGCCUGACGCAGCGACGCCGCGUGAGGGAUGACGGCCU
rnacentral:rRNA from 1 species